CUCUAAGAGAUUAGAGUUUUCGGUUCGGCCGGACGAAACACAGGUGCUGCAUGGCUGUCGUCAGCUCGUGUCGUGAGAUGUUGGGUUAAGUCCCGCAACGAGCGCAACCCUCACUUUUAGUUGCCAUCAUUAAGUUGGGCACUCUGAAAGAACUGCCAGUGAUAAGCUGGAGGAAGGUGGGGAUGACGUCAAGUCCUCAUGGCCCUUACGUGUUGGGCUACACACGUGCUACAAUGGCAUCUACAACAGGAAGCAAAACGGCAACGUUAAGCAAAUCCCGAAAAGAUGCCUCAGUUCGGAUUGCACUCUGCAACUCGAGUGCAUGAAGCUGGAAUUACUAGUAAUCGUGGAUCAGCGUGCCACGGUGAAUGCGUUCCCGGGUCUUGUACACACCGCCCGUCACACCAUGGGAGUUGGUUCUACCUUAAGGCAAGGUUUCAAACCCUUGACCACGGUAUAGUCAGCGACUGGGGUGAAGUCGUAACAAGGUAGCCGUAGGGGAACCUGCGGCUGGAUUACCUCCUUU
rnacentral:rRNA from 1 species